ensembl:lncRNA
GUGGUUCUCCUCAAACCUCAAACAGCCAGUCCAUGAGGAGCCCCUCUCCCUCACCCAGGAACCACAAAGGCUCCCGUCCUGGUGGUUCUCCUUUAGCUUCAAACAGCAUCAGGGCCCGCUCCCCCAGAGAGAGGAACAGUGUAUUCCCCAUGGAAAAUGACAGUGAGUUUUAAAUAUUCUUGCUACAACCAGAUGUUUGAGCAAUCUAGAGCUCUAACCACAUUUCUAUUGUUGAUUUUCAUCAGUUCAAAUUGGAAAUGUGUCAAUCUGUUGCAUUAAAGUGUAAUUCCGGCGAAAAUUGACCCAAGGGUGUUUUUCUGCAUUAAAACACAUCAAAUAAGCCGUGGAGACA